rnacentral:rRNA from 1 species
GACGAACGCUGGCGGCGCGCUUAACACAUGCAAGUCGAGCGAGAACCCUGGAGCUUGCUCCGGGGGGACAGCGGCGAACGGGUGAGUAACACGUGAGGAACCUGCCCCGAAGACCGGGAUAACACCGGGAAACCGGUGCUAAUACCGGAUGCCCUCACCGGACCGCAUGAUCUGGUGAGGAAAUGGAUUCCGCUUCGGGAUGGCCUCGCGGCCUAUCAGCUUGUUGGUGGGGUAACGGCCUACCAAGGCUCCGACGGGUAGCUGGUCUGAGAGGAUGUCCAGCCACACUGGGACUGAGACACGGCCCAGACUCCUACGGGAGGCAGCAGUGGGGAAUCUUGCGCAAUGGGCGAAAGCCUGACGCAGCGACGCCGCGUGCGGGAUGACGGCCUUCGGGUUGUAAACCGCUUUCAGCAGGGACGAUUGUGACGGUACCUGCAGAAGAAGCCCCGGCCAACUACGUGCCAGCCGCCGCAGUAA